GAUGAACGCUAGCUACAGGCUUAACACAUGCAAGUCGAGGGGAAACGAUAUUGGAAGCUUGCUUCCGAUAGGCGUCGACCGGCGCACGGGUGAGUAACGCGUAUCCAACCUGCCCACCACUUGGGGAUAACCUUGCGAAAGUAAGACUAAUACCCAAUGAUAUCUCUAGAAAACAUCCGAAGGAGAUUAAAGAUUUAUCGGUGAUGGAUGGGGAUGCGGCUGAUUAGGUUGUUGGCGGGGUAACGGCCCACCAAGGCGACGAUCAGUAGGGGUUCUGAGAGGAAGGUCCCCCACAUUGGAACUGAGACACGGUCCAAACUCCUACGGGAGGCAGCAGUGAGGAAUAUUGGUCAAUGGGCGAGAGCCUGAACCAGCCAAGUAGCGUGCAGGAUGACGGCCCUAUGGGUUGUAAACUGCUUUUAUAAGGGAAUAAAGUGAGCCUCGUGAGGCUUUUUGCAUGUACCUUAUGAAUAAGGACCGGCUAAUUCCGUGCCAGCCGCCGCUGUAA
rnacentral:rRNA from 1 species